UGUUCUGCAGCUUAGUUGGUUAAAGCGCCGAACUGGCGUUACGGAGUCGUGGGCUCAAAUCUCGUCAAAACAA
rnacentral:tRNA from 1 species